CCCAGCCCGGGGGCCUGGCGGUAGCCGUGGCAGUGCCGGUGGUGUUGGUGCUGCUGGGCGCAGGGGCCCUGCUGCGGUGGUUCGUGCUCGCCAGGAAACGCCAGGCUGAAGCGAGCCGCUCUGCCAAGGACACCGGGGAGGCACUGUACACAGAGCUCCAGCCCCGGGACACCCCCGAUAUUUACUGCACGAUCCAGACGCCAGAACACGGAGCUGCAGAUGAACCUUGCUACAAACCGAAGCUCUGAACAAAGGACUGAAUGACCCAUUCCAGCGGGGGAUGUUCCAGAGACUUGAUUUG